UGGAGCUACCUCUGACCUGGCCAGCGAUGUACUCGACAAUAUCGAGCAAUUCGUGGUGCAAGCUUUGUACAAGGUUGGGCCAGACAUUACAAUGUCAAAUGCAGCGCGCGUUUCUCUUUUUGGAGCUGUAAAGGUGCUGGAAUUCUUGCCGCCUACCAGUGACGCACUGCGCUUGCAUAUCCUUCGGUGCCACUAUCAGGUUUUUGUGUGGAAAAACUCCCACGUGGCCUUCCCCGAACUACCUGACCCUAAAAAUUGUGGGUGGAAGGUGGAAGGCGGGCGAUAUGUGCCUAUUCUCAUGACUCUGCCAUCUAUCCCAAAGUCAUGCCCGGAGUUUAGUGUUUGUGGCUGCAAAGGACUGUGUAACACAAAGCAGUGUGGGUGUAGGAAGGAGCCCUGGGUCCCUUGCACAAAACUGUGUAAGUGCAGAGCAAAGUGCUUGAAUGGGGCAGGUGACGAUGACGAUGAAUGACGAGUAUUAAUGUCAAUUGAAUUCAGAAAAUAAAAGUCCUUUAACACUUGUUUAAAAUAAUUUUGAGCAUUUAAACAUGCUCUAAAUCCCCUCAGACACA